AGUCUUAUAUUCAAGUAUGAUAUUAAAUUGCAAAUUUAAAGGUAAAGUAGUUUUAAGGCUU
rnacentral:tRNA from 1 species